ACGCUUCUUUUUCCACCGGAGCUUGCUCCACCGGGAAAAAGAGGAGUGGCGAACGGGUGAGUAACACGUGGGUAACCUGCCCAUCAGAAGGGGAUAACACUUGGAAACAGGUGCUAAUACCGUAUAACAAUCAAAACCGCAUGGUUUUGAUUUGAAAGGCGCUUUCGGGUGUCGCUGAUGGAUGGACCCGCGGUGCAUUAGCUAGUUGGUGAGGUAACGGCUCACCAAGGCCACGAUGCAUAGCCGACCUGAGAGGGUGAUCGGCCACAUUGGGACUGAGACACGGCCCAAACUCCUACGGGAGGCAGCAGUAGGGAAUCUUCGGCAAUGGACGAAAGUCUGACCGAGCAACGCCGCGUGAGUGAAGAAGGUUUUCGGAUCGUAAAACUCUGUUGUUAGAGAAGAACAAGGAUGAGAGUAACUGUUCAUCCCUUGACGGUAUCUAACCAGAAAGCCACGGCUAACUACGUGCCAGCAGCCGCGGUAAUACGUAGGUGGCAAGCGUUGUCCGGAUUUAUUGGGCGUAAAGCGAGCGCAGGCGGUUUGUUAAGUCAGAUGUGAAAUCCCCGGGCUCAACCUGGGAACUGCAUCUGAUACUGGCAAGCUUGAGUCUCGUAGAGGGGGGUAGAAUUCCAGGUGUAGCGGUGAAAUGCGUAGAGAUCUGGAGGAAUACC
rnacentral:rRNA from 1 species